rnacentral:ncRNA from 1 species
UGAAGUGGUGAAUAGUGAAUGGUUUGUUCCAUUCACCAUUUGACCAUUGACCAUUCACAGGCGUCGCGGACGCUUCAGGUUUCUAGAGAUCGUUAAAAGGUAUCUUAUUCUGAAUACAUAGGGAUAAGAAGCGAACGCGGGGAACUGAAACAUCUAAGUACCCGUAGGAAAGGACAUCAACCGAGACUCCGUCAGUAGCGGCGAGCGAAC